UACGGGAGGGGGCUAGCGUUGUUCGGAAUUACUGGGCGUAAAGCGCACGUAGGCGGCUUUGCAAGUCAGAGGUGAAAGGCCCGGGGCUCAACCCCGGAAUUGCCUUUGAGACUGCAUCGCUAGAAUUGUGGAGAGGUAAGUGGAAUUCCGAGUGUAGAGGUGAAAUUCGUAGAUAUUCGGAAGAACACCAGUGGCGAAGGCGACUUACUGGACACAAUAUUGACGCUGAGGUGCGAAAAGCGUGGGGAGCAAACAGG
rnacentral:rRNA from 1 species